AAACAUAAAGGUCUGAUAUAUUAAUUUGACUUUGUUGCAUUACAAAGAACAUGAUCCAAAGGUUACAAUAAGUGAUACUAACAUAGUAGCUAAGUUUGGACGUUUCAAUCAAUACCUCGACCAUUCUAAAACAUAAUAUUUGAAUUAUCCAUACUGGAAAUGACAUCAUAAAACUCUACAUAAGACUAUAGAAUAGCAGCCCCAUUCUCGACCUUGCAAUCCACAUCUGGGCCAUGCAUCAUCAAUUUAUCUCAGCAAUCUACAACAAUAAAGAAAUUAUAUCACAAGUUAUUUUAGAGAAAACAAGGUUAAGAACGGCAAAAUCAAAGGAGUAGAAACAUACAAAGGUUGAAGGUUAAGAACGACAAAACUAAACUGUUGUGUAGAUUUGCUAAGAAAUACUCCCU
rnacentral:lncRNA from 1 species